UCUUAUCCAGUUCAGUCACUCCUCUUUUGAAAAAAAAAAAUCAGAGAGAAGAAGAAAUCUGUGAAAAAUCUCCGACCACCGGACAUCGGGGGCAUGGCCGCCUCCGCCCUUCUCUCGCCUGUGCGGCCUCUCGCCGGAACCACACUUUCCUUCGGUGUUCCCUACCAAAACAAGAGAAGGAUCCCAACGAUGCGGGUCUACUGCGCUGCUGAUGAAGAAGAGGAAGUCAAUGACUUGGGAGUCAAUGUGGCACUAUCCAUGCUAAAAUUUUACAAAAGAGAAAUAUCGCCCUUACUACCCUCAAGCUGCCGUUAUGUGCCAACUUGCAGCCAGUACUCUAUGCAAGCAUACAAAAAAUACGGCGUUGCAAAGGGUACAAUCUUGACAGCUUGGCGUCUAUGCCAUUGUAAUCCUCUUGGUGGUCAUGGUUAUGAUCCCCCAAGGUGGUUUGGUGAGGAAGAGUUACCAAAGCAAUGAUGGCCUGGUGUUAGAUUAUAUAUUCGCAAGGAUUCCAUUGCAUAUUGUUUACCGAUGCAACUGUCGCAAGCAAGGGUGUUCAGGAGUUCUACUGCACCUGACAAGGGGAACUUAUUUGUUUACAGUAGUAUCGACUCAUGCCAUGUUGAGAAGGUGAUCAGAUGUUCAGAAUUUCUAUGAGGAGGAUUGUUAUGAUAACUGGUAAAUGACUUUCUACUAUGAACUUGGAAACCACGUCCUUAGUAACAAUUGUGCUGGUUUAUCAGUACCGCUGAGGAAUUGUAUUCCCAGGAAUCCUGUUGUAUUAGCACAAGAAUAGUAUAGAAUUUUCAUCUGAUAGGCUAGGAGCAGUGAUGCCUUGUGGUACUGAUGCCUUGGCUCUUCCAUUCCUCAAUGUUUCUUUGAUCCUUAACAAUCUGCAAAUCUUGGUUUUGGAGCCACUUCUUCCCUCGUCCUAUCAAAAGAAGCAAUGAUCAUUAGAUAUAAUUUGAUGGGAGAACAGAGGACUCUAUUGCAUUGAUACAAGGCAGCAGCCAAAACUACACCAGUCUUAUCUGAUUGAAUGAUGUAGCUGAGGACCAUGUAACAUAGUGAAUGAUGCAGCCUGUGACCUGGGUAUUGUAUAUGCUCAUAAUGCAAAGGCAAUUUGCAAAUUCAAUCCAUGCUGUUUGACAGAUAAAUAUGUGCAGAUGUCAAAUCUUUGUAAAAAGGGCAGGUGCAAGGCAACUUAACAACUUCACCCUGAACUAUGUUACUGUACUCAGUCAAUUCUUCAAGUUGAAAGGACUCAACACAUAAUGUCUGUAGACUGCAGUUUGUAGAGGCAAAAUCCAGGCCGAAGAAGACGGAAAAGGAUGGAGGCAUCAAUUCCUUCAACCCAUUCAUACCCAACAAUUUUCCUGGUGAUUGAUAGCAUGGUGGUGUUUUAAUUUUGCUGAGUACAGGGUUUGAUGUUUUCCAUGCUUGGCUUGGAUACAUCACCCACCUUCUCCUCCUUUUUGGCAUAUUAUACAGCUGAUGGCUCUUACAAGGAAAAAUAAACAGGCCAUGUUGCAACUGGAGCAAUCAAAGUACUAGAAGUACGCAAAAAGAAGAAAAGAAAGAAACCAAACAGUCAUCCGGAGGAAGUGUCUUGUGAUUGGCGCACCCAUGCGGAGUGAGCAAAGAGGAUUCGUCCCAUCCAUCCCUGCAGCAGCCACUGCCCGUCCUCUCCCAGCAGAAAGUCCUUGUGAUGGUACUUGUUCACCUCGUCCCUGAUUGUAUCAACGAUAUCUGGUCUCAGUUUCAGCUGCUGCAUGCCUGCACGGUGGUUCCUGGCCUGCCACUGUUUGUACUUCUCAGGGCGCUCCACCAGGUCUGCACCCUCACAGGCGAUGGCGUUGAGGGCGUAAGGCCCCAGAACGUUCUGCUCCAGCGCCAGCCGCAGCCCACUAUCCCUUGGGGUGGUCGCGUCCAGUAUGUCAAACAGAGCCGAGUAAUACAAGAGCACUGCACGGAAGCGUGACAGGAAGGAGGCACCAUAGCUAUCAUUGGUGAUGCCUUGGAUGAACACGUCUGGCUGCAUCUUGCUGAUGUUACGGAGGGCAACAUCCCUGGGGUUUGGCCCGUCGCAGAAGACGCUCUCGUCCAUCAGAGCACUGAAACUCCAGAGGUCAUUCACCACAAGCACCUCAUCAGGCUCGAUGUGCAGGUCCUCGGCACCAACUGUCUCCCACUUUGCUGCUGCAACAGCUUGGAAUCUGAAUGGCACACGAAACUCAUUGGCACAGCUGCUCAGGCAAUGCCCAGCCUCCUCAAUACGCUGAAAUGGACGAAACGCCGGCUGGAGGAUGUCAACGAUGGUGAUCCUCACCUCCGGCGGCCCGUCUUCCCUGCUUCCCAGCCGGCGGAGCAGGUCUGGCCAGUGCAGCCCACAGCGCGGGCCGUAAUCAACUAUGUGCAGCCUCUUCUUCCCUUGCACAGCUUGCAUGAUUGUCAUGGCGGCAAACAUGAGUGCCACCUUCGUGAAGCAGCAGGCUGCCAUGUAGAGCUUGUACACCUUGAGGUACUCGACCAACGACAUGCGCAUCUGAUUCUGAUACAGAUGCUUCCCUCUGCCAGCUAGCCGUGCCUCAAGCCCCUUGGCGAAGUAGUGAGCCACUCGCUGCAUGGCGUCGCCUGUUGCCAAAGCGUGCUGCUUGAUCUUCUUCAGCAGCUCGCCUGCAGAUUGCUGGUUGUCUGUCGCCGUGGCCUGUGCACACUGGAUCAGCAGCAACCCUUCUCCAUGUCUUUGAUGCAUGUCUCGUGUGCGUGCAGCAUCAGUUCGUCCAGCAACUCGCGAGCACCAGCCUCCUGUGUCCCUGCAAUCGUCAAGGCAGCUAAUUUACUGGUCCUCCCCAGUUCCUCCUCCAGCUGCUGCUCGUCCCUGUCAUGGUUUUUCUUCUUUCGUCCCCUACAAUGACCAUCACUUGAUACUUGAUCCACCGUCUCCAGCGUUCUGAAGCUGUUGUUUCUGGGCAACAACUUGCUGGCCUCUCCCAUGCCCUUCGAGAACACCCUAACCACUUCACUGCCCGGCAACAUAUUGUUGGCCUCCUCUGUGCUGCCCCUGUUGACACACUGCAAGUUGGUGAUAGCAGCAGAAGAACCCAUCUCAUCCUCCAUGAGCAUACGAGAGACGUAGGAGAGAAGUUGGUUGUCCAAUGAUGAGGGAUCUGUGCCAUCACUGUUGGAGAGGGGUGUUGCGGGGAGGUCAAAGAAGACAGGUGGUGGGGAUGGUGCUUCGUUCUCCUUGAGGAGGGCCUCCCAAAAGAAAUCCUCUGGGUUGGCCAUGCUGAUAAUCAUUCAAUGGUGGUAGCCUUUGCUCUUGCUCGCCAUAUCAUGAGACAGCAGCAAAUACCCUGUCUAUAACUCCAACCUAGUGUGUGAUGAUUCCAAUAACCUAGUACAAACAGGACAUGGAAAUGAAGAUGACUCCAAGAUUGCUUUGAGAAUGCAGACAAGGGGAUAUAUCCGCCAUUGUAGAGGGAAUGCUGACAGGGAGAACUGGACUAGUCAUGUGCUACCCAUGUUGAGUGGGCAAAGAGGAUGCGGCCCUUCCAGCCCUGAAGAAGCCACUAUUGAUCCUCCUCAAUGACAAAAUCUUUGUGGUAGUGGUUCUUAACCAUCAUAACUUUCUCCCUGUUCAAGGGCAGCUGCCUCAACCCGAAUUAAAUUUGAAAAUAUAUUGUUUCAUUUAUUUUUUCCCCAAAAAUAUCCGAGAUGCAAUAUUUUUUUGGCCCAAAUAUACCGUCGAUAUCACUGAACCGUCGCGCAAAAAUGACGAGGGCAUGACGACGUGGACGGUCUCGCACGGUGUCAUGAGGUGAUGGAGCAAGACCGCUUUGUGUCACGCGGAUGGCCAAACAGCGAGACCGACAUUCAAAUUGAUUAAUUUGUUUACAAUAGUAUCGACUCAUGCCAUGUUGAGAAGGUGAUCAGAUGUUCAGAAUUUCUACCAGGAGGAUUGUUGUGAUAACUGGUAAUUGACUUUCUACUAUGAACUUGGAAACCAUGUCUUUACUAACAA